UCUGCCCCCUGGGUUCAGGCAAUUCUCCUGCCUCAGCCUCCUGAGUAGCUGGGAUUACAGGCACGUGCCACCGUGCCCAGCUAAUUUUUUCUAAUUUUUAGUAGAGACAGGGUUUCACCAUGUUGACCAGGAUGGUCUCGAUCUCUUGACCUCGUGAUCCACCCGCCUCGGCCUCCCAAAGUGCUGGGAUUAUAGGCUUGAGCCACCUCGCCCAGCCAAAAUUAUUUCUUAAAAAUAAAAUUAUGGGCGCCAGGAGGAGCCGUGCCCUGCCGGUGCUGCUGCUCUCGCUGCCGUCAGUCAGGGUGUGCCCACUUUUUCAGGGCCAGUCCCUCGGACCCAUCACUGCUUCUAGAUUCUACUGCAGUCUUGGAUCUUGCUGGGAAAAUGUCUGAUGAAUUUUUGUUGGCAGAUGCACUACCUGAACCUUCCCCUGCCAAAACUUCUGCUGUGAGCAAUACAAAACCUGGCCAACCUCCUCAAGGCUGGCCAGGCUCCAAUUCUUGGAAUGAUCCCAGUGCUUCACCUUCUGUGCUAUCUGGACUCCCACCAUGUGCAACACCCUGUACUGUGCCUUUUGGACCAGCACCAAUGGGAAUGCACCCCUCCGUGCCUCCCACCAAACCAACUCCAGGACCCCAAGCACCCUUUCUUCCUUUCGGACCAUCAUGCCCCCCCACCUGGUGGUCCUUAUCCAGCCCCAACUGUGCCAGGCCCUGGCCCCACAGGGCCAUAUCCUACACCAAAUAUGCCCUUUACGGAGCUACCUAGACCAUAUGGUGCACCCACACAUCCAGCUGCAGCUGGUCCCUUAGGUCCAUGGGGAUCCAUGUCUUCUGGACCUUGGGCAUCAGAAAUGGGAGGACAGUAUCCUACCCCUAAUAUGCCAUAUCCAUCUCUAGGACCAUAUCCGGCUCUUCCUCCUCCCCAGACCCCUGGGGCAACACCACCUUUCCAUGGAACACGUCCACCAGGAGCCUGGCGACCACCAGCUCCAUAUCCUGCCCCUACAGGAUCUGACCAGGACUCUAUCCUACUUCCAAUAAUCCUUUCCAAGUACCUUCAGGAACUUCUGGUGCUCCACCGAUGCUAACCCUAACUUCCUGGUUUGUUUUUAGUUAUAUGAGUCAUAUAGCACUGAAGUCUCCUCUUUAUGGAAACUUUUUUCUUUUUAAUCCAAGCCAAAAUGUAUGUAUAUUAAAUUUUUAGAUAAUUGAUUAUCUCUUUGUACUACUUAAGAUUUGAUUAUGAGAUGCGCAUAUUGCUUUGGGAAAAGCUUAAGGAAAGAAAUAAUUCUCUCCUUUGUUUUGAACUUCAAACUAGAUAAACCCUAGGUAUUGCUUAAUUGCAACAAGUAGUUUUCAUUGCCACAAAAACCUGAGGCAGCUCUUCUGCCCAGGGCAUUCUCUGCAGCCACCCUACCCUACUUGCCCUUGGUUAUUUAGAAAGAGCACAUCCCUUGAUUCCUCCUCCAUGUGGUAAACUGGCACACUCUAGAGGUCUAAAACAUAAAACAGUUGUGUUUAGAGAACCUUAAGUCAUGCAGAUAUGACUGUUCUCUUUGUACAAGUGUGAAUCGAAAUAAUGUAUCUUUCAGAGUCUGGUUAAGCUAUGUCAUUGUCUCCUGCAUAGUUUCCUGAGUCUUUUUGUAAAGUGCUUAUGGCUAACGGUUCAAUUCUGUAUUUGUUGACAGGUAAGUAAGUGGAGUUGAGUGCCAUCUUUGAAAAAAUUACCCUCUAGCUCUAACACUGAAAGUAAUAAUAAAUUGUAGAUCUCUGCAACU